UACGUAGGGCGCAAGCGUUGUCCGGAAUUAUUGGGCGUAAAGAGCUCGUAGGCGGCCUGUUGCGUCCGCUGUGAAAUCCCGGGGCUCAACCCCGGGCGUGCAGUGGAUACGGGCUGGCUGGAGGCAGGCAGGGGAGAACGGAAUUCCUGGUGUAGCGGUGAAAUGCGCAGAUAUCAGGAGGAACACCGGUGGCGAAGGCGGUUAGCUGGGCAGUUGCUGACACUGAGGCGCGACAGCGUGGGGAGCAAACAGG
rnacentral:rRNA from 1 species